rnacentral:rRNA from 1 species
UACGUAGGGUGCAAGCGUUGUCCGGAAUUAUUGGGCGUAAAGAGCUUGUAGGCGGUUUGUCGCGUCUGCCGUGAAAAUUCGAGGCUCAACCUCGAACUUGCGGUGGGUACGGGCAGACUAGAGUGUGGUAGGGGAGACUGGAAUUCCUGGUGUAGCGGUGAAAUGCGCAGAUAUCAGGAGGAACACCGAUGGCGAAGGCAGGUCUCUGGGCCACUACUGACGCUGAGAAGCGAAAGCAUGGGGAGCGAACAGG